rnacentral:rRNA from 1 species
ACGAACGCUGGCGGCGUGGAUAAGACAUGCAAGUCGAACGAGAGAAUUGCUAGCUUGCUAAUAAUUCUCUAGUGGCGCACGGGUGAGUAACACGUGAGUAACCUGCCCCCGAGAGCGGGAUAGCCCUGGGAAACUGGGAUUAAUACCGCAUAGUAUCGAAAGAUUAAAGCAGCAAUGCGCUUGGGGAUGGGCUCGCGGCCUAUUAGUUAGUUGGUGAGGUAACGGCUCACCAAGGCGAUGACGGGUAGCCGGUCUGAGAGGAUGUCCGGCCACACUGGAACUGAGACACGGUCCAGACACCUACGGGUGGCAGCAGUCGAGAAUCAUUCACAAUGGGGGAAACCCUGAUGGUGCGACGCCGCGUGGGGGAAUGAAGGUCUUCGGAUUGUAAACCCCUGUCAUGUGGGAGCAAAUUAAAAAGAUAGUACCACAAGAGGAAGAGACGGCUAACUCUGUGCCAGCAGCCGCGGUAAUACAGAGGUCUCAAGCGUUGUUCGGAAUCACUGGGCGUAAAGCGUGCGUAGGCUGUUUCGUAAGUCGUGUGUGAAAGGCGCGGGCUCAACCCGCGGACGGCACAUGAUACUGCGAGACUAGAGUAAUGGAGGGGGAACCGGAAUUCUCGGUGUAGCAGUGAAAUGCGUAGAUAUCGAGAGGAACACUCGUGGCGAAGGCGGGUUCCUGGACAUUAACUGACGCUGAGGCACGAAGGCCAGGGGAGCGAAAGGGAUUAGAUACCCCUGUAGUCCUGGCAGUAAACGGUGCACGCUUGGUGUGCGGGGAAUCGACCCCCUGCGUGCCGGAGCUAACGCGUUAAGCGUGCCGCCUGGGGAGUACGGUCGCAAGAUUAAAACUCAAAGAAAUUGACGGGGACCCGCACAAGCGGUGGAGUAUGUGGCUUAAUUCGAUGCAACGCGAAGAACCUUACCUGGGCUUGACAUGUAAUGAACAACAUGUGAAAGCAUGCGACUCUUCGGAGGCGUUACACCGGUGCUGCAUGGCCGUCGUCAGCUCGUGUCGUGAGAUGUUUGGUUAAGUCCAGCAACGAGCGCAACCCCUGUUGCCAGUUACCAGCACGUGAAGGUGGGGACUCUGGCGAGACUGCCCAGAUCAACUGGGAGGAAGGUGGGGACGACGUCAGGUCAGUAUGGCCCUUAUGCCCAGGGCUGCACACGUACUACAAUGCCCAGUACAGAGGGGGCCGAAGCCGCGAGGCGGAGGAAAUCCUAAAAACUGGGCCCAGUUCGGACUGUAGGCUGCAACCCGCCUACACGAAGCCGGAAUCGCUAGUAAUGGCGCAUCAGCUACGGCGCCGUGAAUACGUUCCCGGGUCUUGUACACACCGCCCGUCACAUCAUGGAAGCCGGUCGCACCCGAAGUAUCUGAAGCCAACCGCAAGGAGGCAGGGUCCUAAGGUGAGACUGGUAACUGGGAUG